AGGUGUUCCACAGCCAUCUGGGAAGUAUAAUUCCUCCAGUGUGUUCUGGGUUUCCCCCGGGGCCUCCUCCCAGUUGGACAUGCCUGUAAGACCUCCCUAAGGAGAUGACCAGGGGGCAUCCUCACCAAAUGCCUGAACCACCACAGCUGGCUCCUUUCAAUGUGAAGAAGCAGUGCCUCGACUCCAAGUCCCUCCCGGACAGUUGAGUUUUUCACCCUGUCAUCAA